CUGUCACAACGGCUUCCUGACGUGACAGAUUAUUUUGACAACGGAGCA
rnacentral:ncRNA from 1 species